GGGUAAGUCUUACACAAUCAGCUCCUGUUGAAUCCCCCAGGAUUGGAAGAUAGCAAGGGUAAAUGGUCGUAGCGAUGUGAUGUAAGUAGCUUACCCAUU
rnacentral:SRP_RNA from 1 species